GCAUUGGUGGUUCAGUGGUAGAAUCCUCGCCUGCCACGCGGGGGUCCCGGGUUCGAUUCCCGGCCAAUGCA